rnacentral:rRNA from 1 species
ACGCACGCUGGCGGCAUGCCUAACACCUGCACGUCGAACGAGACCUUCGGGUCUAGUGGCGCACGGGUGCGUAACGCGUGGGAACCUGCCCUUAGGUUCGGAAUAACUCCCCGAAAGGGGUGCUAAUACCGGAUAAUGUCUUCGGACCAAAGAUUUAUCGCCUUUGGAUGGGCCCGCGUUGGAUUAGCUAGUUGGUAGGGUAAAAGCCUACCAAGGCGACGAUCCAUAGCUGGUCUGAGAGGAUGAUCAGCCACACUGGGACUGAGACACGGCCCAGACUCCUACGGGAGGCAGCAGUGGGGAAUAUUGGACAAUGGGCGAAAGCCUGAUCCAGCAAUGCCGCGUGAGUGAUGAAGGCCUUAGGGUUGUAAAGCUCUUUUACCCGGGAUGAUAAUGACAGUACCGGGAGAAUAAGCUCCGGCUAACUCCGUG